GAUGAACGCUAGCGGCAGGCUUAAUACAUGCAAGUCGUGGGGCAGCAUGGGGUAGCAAUACUCUGAUGGCGACCGGCAAACGGGUGCGGAACACGUACGCAACCUUCCCAAAACUGGUGAAUAGCCCUCCGAAAGGAGGAUUAAUACACCGUAACAUAACGAAGUGGCAUCACUUUGUUAUUAUAGCUCCGGCGGUUUUGGAUGGGCGUGCGCCUGAUUAGGUAGUUGGCGGGGUAACGGCCCACCAAGCCUACGAUCAGUAACUGGUGUGAGAGCACGACCAGUCACACGGGCACUGAGACACGGGCCCGACUCCUACGGGAGGCAGCAGUAAGGAAUAUUGGUCAAUGGACGCAAGUCUGAACCAGCCAUGCCGCGUGAAGGAUGAAGGUCCUCUGGAUUGUAAACUUCUUUUAUCUGGGACGAAAAAAGGGCUUUCUAGCUCACUUGACGGUACCAGAGGAAUAAGCACCGGCUAACUCCGUGCCAGCAGCCGCGGUAAUGU
rnacentral:rRNA from 1 species